UGUUUUUGAAUUGCUGGAAUGUGCUGAACCACACCCCUUCAGGCAGCCAAACAGGAAGAGCUGAGAAAGUCAAAGCCGAAAGUAAACACCAAACUUCACAUCUGAAUGAUACUGGCCCUGGAAUACUAUUGUUAGGAGAAAUAACUGAGGAUGGAUUUGAUUGCAAAAGGGUUCUUUUUGUGUUUGGGGGGAAUGAUACUGAGGACUUUCAGUGGGAGUACAUCCAUUCUUGCUUUAUUAAAUACUGCAGUGCUGGUGGGAAUAGGCAUGGUAGUGUACACUCAUUUCAAGAAUCAAAAAUCAGGUAUCAAAGAUCAAUCAUCAUGUAUCAUGGAUCAAGGCUCAAGAAUCAAGGGGGAAAAAGAAAAGCGUGACCGACAAGAGUGACUGAAAAGUUCAUUCCUUUGGAGUUAAAGCGUCUGUGGAAUCAUAACUAUGCAAUACAGCUACAAUCCUUACUGUCGGCUGCAUUUAAAACAUUUUGAAGACAUCAUUGAAGCUAUGGUAGCCUACUGAGACAGUGUAAAUGCAAAUGGGAGUUGGUGCUCACAGAUGACACCUCAGGCUGACAGACAACAUUCCUGGAGGUGUGUAAACAGGAUACCUCUAAACCUUUGAGUUUGUCAGAGCCUGUUUAAUGGUCUUCUUUACCAUUUUGGCAGGGCACACUUUGAUAUGUGAUAUCAUGUAUAUACAUUCUUGACUCUACCAUCAGGUUGUAGAUAUAGAUCCCUGGCAUGGAAACAGGCUCGCUAUAGCAGGAGCUUUAUCCCCUCUGCCAUAGCACUAUUUAACAAAAGUACUUGCUAAGUAAAAAGUAUGUUUGGUUUAUUGUCAAUUUGUGUAUGAAAUGUACUGAUACACAGUAUGUUGUUAGGUAUGUUCAUGUGAGGUAAUGUAGGUAUAGAUGGUGGAAACAAAUUUCAUGAAAAGGAAAAUAAUGAAUCUAAUCUAAUCUAAUAUCACUUGUCUAGUGUCUCUGCCUAAAUGUGAAACAGGAAGGAAGUAUUCUUUUUUGCCUGCCUCUCAUCUGCCCCCAAAUGAUCUAAGAGUGUGGAAUUUUUUGUAUAAAUUUUAUUAUAUAAUUUCCACGGUUUGUAUAACCCAUUUUUCAAGUUUUCUAUAUGACUUGUAUAACAUCCACUGAAGCACAUGACAGAGUCUGGUAAUCUGUUUUAUUGUUGGGGAGAACAGGUGUGCCUAUAGCUGCAAGGUAACCGCCAGACAGGAGACUAUGUCUAGUUUCACUUACUGUUAUUUAAGAAGAAGGUCUCGUGGUUGUGCCGAUAUCUAAAGCUCAGGCAUAUUGUAACGGCUGAACUUCAGUUCAAUUUAAUGUGUGGUGAAAGCAUUGAAAGCACAUUGCUGUAAAUGUAUCAUUCUUUGUCAUAUACAUAGCUGUGUCCUUCAGCCUGGAGCACUUGCUUUGCAUUUCUCAUUUUAAUAAAUAACACAAAGGCAA